AUUGAACGCUGGCGGAAUGCUUUACUCAUGCAAGUCGAACGGCAGCACGGACUUCGGUCUGGUGGCGAGUGGCGAACGGGUGAGUAACAUAUCGGAACGUAUCCAAUAAUGGGGGAUAACUAAUCGAAAGGUUGGCUAAUACCGCAUACGCCCUACGGGGGAAAGCUAGGGACCUUCGGGCCUGGCGUUAAUGGGGCGGCCGAUAUCUGAUUAGCUAGUUGGUGAGGUAAAGGCUCACCAAGGCGACGAUCAGUAGCUGGUCUGAGAGGACGACCAGCCACACUGGAACUGAGACACGGUCCAGACUCCUACGGGAGGCAGCAGUGGGGAAUUUUGGACAAUGGGCGCAAGCCUGAUCCAGCCAUUCCGCGUGAGUGAAGAAGGCCUUCGGGUUGUAAAGCUCUUUCGCAAGGGAAGAAAACUUAGCCACUAACAUUGGCUGAGGUUGACGGUACCUUGAUAAGAAGCACCGGCUAACUACGUGCCAGCAGCCGCCGUAAUAC
rnacentral:rRNA from 1 species